GGUGCUAUAGUGUAGUGGUUAUCACUCGGGAUUUUGAAAUCAUCAGCUGAUGAUCCAUAGCUUCCCGAAACCCAGGUUCGAACCCUGGUAGCACCU